rnacentral:rRNA from 1 species
GCAGCGUGCGGGAUGACGGCCUUCGGGUUGUAAACCGCUUUCAGCAGGGAAGAAGCGCAAGUGACGGUACCUGCAGAAGAAGUACCGGCUAACUACGUGCCAGCAGCCGCGGUAAUACGUAGGGUACGAGCGUUGUCCGGAAUUAUUGGGCGUAAAGAGCUCGUAGGUGGUUGGUCACGUCUGCUGUGGAAACGCAACGCUUAACGUUGCGCGUGCAGUGGGUACGGGCUGACUAGAGUGCAGUAGGGGAGUCUGGAAUUCCUGGUGUAGCGGUGAAAUGCGCAGAUAUCAGGAGGAACACCGGUGGCGAAGGCGGGACUCUGGGCUGUAACUGACACUGAGGAGCGAAAGCAUGGGGAGCGAACAGGAUUAGAUACCCUGGUAGUCCAUGCCGUAAACGUUGGGCACUAGGUGUGGGGGGCAUUCCACGUUCUCCGCGCCGUAGCUAACGCAUUAAGUGCCCCGCCUGGGGAGUACGGUCGCAAGGCUAAAACUCAAAGGAAUUGACGGGGGCCCGCACAAGCGGCGGAGCAUGCGGAUUAAUUCGAUGCAACGCGAAGAACCUUACCAAGGCUUGACAUACACCGGACCGUCCUGGAAACAGGUCCUCUUCUUUGAAGCUGGUGUACAGGUGGUGCAUGGUUGUCGUCAGCUCGUGUCGUGAGAUGUUGGGUUAAGUCCCGCAACGAGCGCAACCC